GGAAGCAUUGGAGUCAACUUGCAACUCAAUAUUAGGAAGGAACCUGAGAUAAAGGGAUCAGCCAACAAGAAAUGGAAGACCGUUGCAACCCCGCCAAAUAGACUUCAAAGAGGAAGUCAAGCAAGGAAAGAGGAAGUUGAGGAGUGUGCGUGAUAAUUAGACAUCUACAAUUACAGUAUCUAGCCAAGUCUGUUCUUCAUGUUGAAAUGUGAGAAUGGGGUAGUGGUUAACGUAUUCCAAUUAAACUAGCAAGUUUCAUUAAAAUGCUUUUUUCUUGAAUAAAAGUAAUAGUGAAUUUUG